UACGAAGGGGGCUAGCGUUGUUCGGAUUUACUGGGCGUAAAGCGCACGUAGGCGGAUUGUUAAGUGAGGGGUGAAAGUCCUGGAGCUCAACUCCAGAACUGCCUUUCAUACUGGCAAUCUAGAGUCCGGAAGAGGUAAGUGGAACUCCUAGUGUAGAGGUGGAAUUCGUAGAUAUUAGGAAGAACACCGGUGGCGAAGGCGGCACGCUGGGUCCCUACUGACGCUGAGGCGCGAAAGCCAGGGGAGCGAACGGG
rnacentral:rRNA from 1 species